UACGUAGGGGGCAAGCGUUGUCCGGAAUCAUUGGGCGUAAAGCGCGCGUAGGCGGCUCGAUAAGUCUGCUGUGAAAGUCCAGGGCUCAACCCUGGGAUGCCGGUGGAUACUGUCGAGCUUGAGUCCGGAAGAGGCGAGUGGAAUUCCUGGUGUAGCGGUGAAAUGCGCAGAUAUCAGGAGGAACACCUAUGGCGAAGGCAGCUCGCUGGGACGUGACUGACGCUGAGACGCGAAAGCGUGGGGAGCAAACAGG
rnacentral:rRNA from 1 species